CAGAGCUUCCAGGGCUUGGGUGCUCACUCACACAGUGCUACUGGGGCUUCCUCAGUUGCUUUAGGAGUGGCUCUUGGUGCACCCCUGGGGACACCUCCUGUGUCCUUGGUUAAGACAUAAAAGGCUUAUUGGUUUUGAUUCCUCACUUGUUGCGUGCUUUGGGUUUGGAAAGAAAUGAAAUGGAAAGAAAAGGAGGUCCAAAGAAGUUAUUUGAAGGUUUCCUUGUAUAUUGCUUAUUUGUGGUGCUGGUGAUGGAACCCAGGCCCUUACUCUUGCUAGGGUUCCUGGCCUUGCAGUAAGCAAAGAAUUUCAUUUCCUGACCGGCCCUGGGAACUUCAAGUUAUUCAGGGACUGUGAGAAGAGAGGGAUUUAUCCAGUUCUACAGGUGUAAUAAGCACUGUCUGACAGCAAGUCCCUGGCUUCCUAACCUGGAAAUGCUUCCAGUCUGAGACUCCUAUGGAAAUUUCUAGCAAUUCAAAUGUAUUAUUUUUUUUUUCUUUUUUAAAAUAAUUUUAACUGGUAUACAAAAUAUAAAAGUUGUACAUAUUAAUGGGGUACCAUGUAAAGCUGGAUAUGUGUAUAUAUUAUAUAAUGUUUAAAUCAGUUUAAAUAUUUUUAUCUCCUCAAAUAUUUGUCACUUUUUUAUGGCAAACACUUUUAAAAUUCUCUUUUCUAGCCUCUUGAAAUAAACAGUACAUAAUUGUUAUCUGUAGUCACCAAACUAUGCAGUAGCAAGUUAAAACUUCUUAUGUUUCAAAAGAAAAUUAUAAUGCACUUCUAAUCAGACUCUACCCAUUGUGUUGAGGUUUUAUUAUCUACUUGCAAUCUGGGCUAGACCCUAAUUCUUGUGGUUUCUUCUGGUAUCUAAUAUUUGCAAUUUUCUUCCAACCUCUGGCUUAGAAUUGGUGAGGUUAAAAUCAUCCUUUCACGAUGCCCUACAAGUUGAAGGUGGUCAAUUUGAUUCACACUUCAGAGAAAUCACCACAACCCUUUGUGUCUUCAUGCACCACUGAGAAAGUUCACUGGAACACCUCAUGCAAACUGUAAACCAGAAAAAUCUGUCAGAUUGCUGCUAAAGAUGCUUCAAGUCAAAAUCUAGAAAUCUUCUCCACUGGCUGACUCAAAAAUUGAGUUAAAAGUUUGUUCCAAUUAUUGUUGUUUGUUUUCUUUUGUCACCAUAGAAAUGUCUCUUUUUAAAUGCCUGAUUGCUCAGAUCCUACAGAGGCAUAAACCAGGCAGGAGCCCGUUAAUAACACCACAGCCUGAAAUGCUUUGUGGCUGUUAACUGUGUAACAGGACUGGCCUGAGUUCAGGACUCAGAGACGGGUUGGGUGGCUUAGGAGACAAUCCAACUAUGCAACUGUGAAACUUAUUGGGGAAAUUUCAGACCAGAAAAGGUUUAGGCUUGGAAAAUGACACCCCAAAGUGAAGGCCUCAAAGUAAAAUUUCUCCUCCCCUUCCUCCUAACCUUUUGUCCCUCACCCCUUGUCCUUCCCCAAGGCAAGUCAUAGGAACCAGAACCUUUUCAUUCCAAAGCCAGCCAUAAAACCUAAAAAUUUUUAGUCCUGACUUUUCCUGUAAGAGUUGGCCGUAAAGGAGGCCCUCAUUCCAGAGAGGUCCUGCCCACCACACCAAGGUAAGAAAUGCUGUAACCAAGGAACCAAAAAGAAUAUGAACAGGCCUUGCCAGGUUUCCCCUCAGUCAAUAUCCAUCAGCUCAGACUCUCCAAUCACAUUUCUACUUGACUCUUCUACUUCAUGAAAUCCGAGCCAAAAAAUAGACAAUUCCCCCUGGGGCUUUGGGUCUGCAAUCUGAAGGUUCGUGUAUCACAUAAAACUAUGAUCAAAUAAAUUUGCUGUGUUCC